UUAAGCGGGCCGAGAGGAUGGUUGGACCUUUACGGUAUCCGGUUCUACGCUCUACGUUCGGUGAUUGAUUACUGGCCUUAACUGGCUGGUGGUUGGUUCCGGACCGUUUACCUUGAAUAAAUUAGAGUGUUCAAAGCAGGCUUUUUAGCCUUGAAUAGUUUAGCAUGGGAUUCUAGGAUUUACUAACAAGCUGACCAAUGCGAAAGCAUUUGCCAAGGAUGUUUUCAUUAAUCAAGAACGAAAGUAGGGGGAUCGAAGACGAUCAGAUACCGUCGUAGUCUCUACCGUAAACUAUGCCGACCAGGGAUCCGGAGAGUUUGCAUGGAUGACUCCAAUGCGAAAGCAUGUGAGAAGCUCUCAUUAAUCAAGAACGAAAGUUAGGGGAUCGAAGACGAUCAGAUACCGUCGUAGUCUUAACUAUAAACGAUACGAAUCAAGGAUUGAAUGUUGUUAAUCGUACGACUCUUUCAGGACUUUAGGGGAAACCUUUGAAUCUUUGCGUUCUGGGGGGAGUAUGGUCGCAAGGCUGAAACUUAAAGGAAUUGACGGAAGGACGGAAGGGCACCACCAGGAGUGGAACCUGCGGUUACUAGGUCAGAACAUGGUUAUGUGGCCAAUCAAUCCUUUUUAAAAAAUUG
rnacentral:rRNA from 1 species